UGAGUACGAGAUGCUACGGCAUCGAAGCAGUCUAUGUCAUACUUCCAAGAAAAGCUUGCACUGUCAGAAACAGAUAAUGCCUGUACCAUAACCGACACAGGUGGGUAGGUAGAGUAUACUAAGGGGCGCGAGAUAACUCUCUCUAAGGAACUCGGCAAAAUGACUCCGUAACUUCGGGAGAAGGAGUGCCUUAUUUAUAAGGUUGCAAUAACAAGAUCCAAGCAACUGUUUAUCAAAAACACAGGUCUCCGCUAAGUCGUAAGACGAUGUAUGGGGGCUGACGCCUGCCCAGUGCCAGAAGGUUAAAGAAGUUGGUUAGUGUAUGCGAAGCUGAUGACUGAAGCCCAGGUGAACGGCGGCCGUAACAAUAACGGUCCUAAGGUAGCGAAAUUCCUUGUCGGGUAAGUUCCGACCCGCACGAAAGGCGUAAUGAUUUGGAUACUGUCUCGGAGAGAGGCUCGGUAAAAUAGACUUGUCUGUGAAGAUGCGGACUACCUGCACCAGGACAGAAAGACCCUAUGAAGCUUUACUGUAACUUGAAAUUGGAAUUGGACUUUGCUUGCGCAGUAUAGGUGGGAAGCGUUGAAGAUAUUCUUGCGGGAGUAUUGGAGCUAUCAGUGAGAUACCACUCUUGUAAUGUUAGAUUUCUAACUUUGAACCAUAAUCUGGUCAAAGAACAGUUUCAGGUGGGCAGUUUGACUGGGGCGGUCGCCUCCCAAAUGGUAACGGAGGCGUACAAAGGUUUCCUCUGAACGGAUAGAAAUCGUAUCUAGAGUGUAAAGGCAUAAGGAAGCUUGACUGUGAGACCUACAAGUCGAGCAGGGACGAAAGUCGGUCUUAGUGAUCUGACGGUACUGAGUGGAAAGGCCGUCACUCAACGGAUAAAAGUUACUCUAAGGAUAACAGGCUGAUCUCCCCCAAGAGUUCACAUCGACGGGGAGGUUUGGCACCUCGAUGUCGGCUCAUCGCAUCCUGGGGCGGUAGUACGUCCCAAGGGUUGGGCUGUUCGCCCAUGAAAGCGGUACGCGAGCUGGGUUCAGAACGUCGUGAGACAGUUCGGUCCAUAUCCGGUGUAGGCGUUAGAAUAUUGAGAGGAGCCUUCUUUAGUACGAGAGGACCGAGAAGGACACACCGCUGGUGUACCAGUUAUCGUGCCAACGGUAAACGCUGGGUAGCUAUGUGUGGAGUGGAUAACCGCUGAAAGCAUCUAAGUGGGAAGCCCACCUCAAGAUGAGUAUUCUCAUC
rnacentral:rRNA from 1 species